rnacentral:tRNA from 1 species
GGCGCGUUAGUCUAGUGGUUAGGACGCCAGGUUUUCAUCCUGGUGACACGGGUUCGAUUCCCGUACGCGCUGCCA